rnacentral:rRNA from 1 species
UUCUUUAGUUAAAAUUUUAGGUAAAACCUGCCCACUGAUUAUUUGAAGGGCCGCGGUAUUAUGACCGUGCUAAGGUAGCAUAAUCAUUAGUCUCUUAAUUAGGGAAUUGUAUGAAUGGUUAAACCUUUUAGUCUUUUAUUUUACACACCUUUUGAACUUUUGGUUUAAGUUAAAAUUCUUAAAAGUUUUAAUAAGACGAUAAGACCCUUUAGAGCUUUAUAUCUAAGUGGAUUAUAAUUUUUGGAAAACAUUGUAAUUUGACAGCGGUAUUAAAUUGGGGCAAUUAGAGAAUAUAAAAAACUUCUUUAACUAAAAUCUUUAUUUUUAAAAUUUAAAAAGUUACCUAAGGGAUAACAGCGUUAUAACUUUUGAGAGCUCUUAUCGAUAAAGUUGUUUGCGACCUCGAUGUUGAAUUAAAAAUUUUUUUGGGGGUAGCCUUUUAAAUAGAUAGUCUGUUCGACUAUUAAAUUUUU